rnacentral:rRNA from 1 species
AGAGUUUGAUCCCGGCUCAGGGUGAACGCUGGCGGCGUGCCUUAGGUAUGCAAGUCGAACGGUUUCAAUAUUACUGAUUCACAAUUUCCUCGGAAAAAGUGUUGAAGUGCCUUUGAAAUAGUGGCAGACGGGUGAGUAAUGCACAGGAAGUUGCCUUUAGAUUUGGAAUAGCUCAUCGAAAGAUGUGGUAAUACCGAAUAGUCUUCUCUUCUUGAGAAGUAAAGGCCUAAUUUAUUAGGUCGUCUAGAGAGAUGCCUGUGUCCUAUCAGCUUGUUGGUGAGGUAAUGGCUCACCAAGGCUAUGACGGGUAACUGGUCUUAGCGGAUGAUCAGUCACACUAGCACUGAGAUAUGGGCUAGACUCCUACGGGAGGCAGCAAUUAGGAAUUUUGCACAAUGGGGGAAACCCUGAUGCAGCGACGCCGCGUGGAGGAUGAAUGCCUUUGGGUUGUAAACUCCUUUUAUGUUGGAACAAAUACCGACUUGUCGGAAAUGAGUGUACAACAUGAAUAAGCACCAACAAACUGCGUGCCAGAAGUUUCGGUUAUGCGUAGGGUGCAAGCGUUACCCGGUUUUACUGGGCGUAAAGAGAAGCGUAGGCUUUCAGAUAAGUUCUUUGUUAAAUAAUAUUGCUUAACAAUAUGAGUGCAUGGGAAACUAUCUGAAUGGAGAAAUAGAGGGGGAAGUGGAAUUUGUGGAGUAGCGGUAAAAUGCGUUGAUACCACAAGGAACACCAGGGGCGAAGGCGACUUCCUGGCUAUUUUCUGACGCUAAGGCUCGAAAGCGUGGGUAGCAAAACGGAUUAGAUACCCGUGUAGUCCACGCUGUAAACAAUCUCUGUUAGGUGUUCGUUACUGAUUUUUCCGUCUGUAAAGAUUGAGAAAUCAGAAUGGGUGCCGUAGCUAACGCAUUAAACAGAGCGCCUGGGGAGUACGGUCGCAAGGCUAAAACUCAAAGGAAUUGACGGGUACCCGCACAAGCGGUGGAGCGUGUGGCUUAAUUCGAUGCCGAGCGAAGAACCUUACCAAGAUUUGACAUGGCAAUUAUCCCCUUUGGUAAUUCUUUGGGGUCAUGUUGUCACAGGUCCUGCAUGGCUGUCGUCAGCUCGUGUCGUGAGGUGUACGGUUAAGUCCGGUAACGAGCGCAACCCACAUCCCAUGUUACAAGUGUCUUGGGAAACUGCCUCGGUAAAACGGGGAGGAAGGAGUGGAUGACGUCUGGUCAGCAUUAGCCUUAUGUCUUGGGCUGCACACGCGCUACAAUGGUUAGUACAAUAGGAAGCAAUGCGGUAACGCGGAGCAAAUCCUUAAAACUAGCCUUAGUUCGGAUUGAGGGCUGCAACUCGCCCUCAUGAAGUUGGAAUCGCUAGUAAUCGUGGGUCAGCAUACCACGGUGAAUACGUUCUCGGGUAUUGUACACACCGCCCGGCACGUCCUGAAAAUUGGAGGGACCUAAAGAUCUUGUAAUAAUGACAAGAUUUAGGGUAAAUUUAGUAAUUGGGAUGAAGCCGUAACAAGGUAGCCGUAGGGGAAUCUGC